rnacentral:rRNA from 1 species
UACGAAGGGGGCGAGCGUUGUUCGGAUUUACUGGGCGUAAAGGGCGCGCAGGCGGCGCAUUUUGUCAGGCGUGAAAGCCCCGGGCUUAACCUGGGAAUGGCCAUGGAAACUGGCGAACUGGAGUGUGGCAGAGGGGGGUGGAAUUCCGCGUGUAGCAGUGAAAUGCGUAGAGAUGCGGAGGAACACCGAUGGCCGAAGGCAGCCCCCCUGGGCUAGCACUGACGCUCAGGCACGAAAGCGUGGGGAGCAAACAGG